UAGGCCAUUUUCCAGUGAUUGAAGCCACUGUUCUGGAAAGGAUGUAUGCCCAGCUUUCGAAGACACAGUCCCACAUAUACGUCUUCAAGGUGAAGCAGCCUUGUGUGGAGUGAGGUCUUGUAAAUGAGUUCAGCUACAUCGGCUGAAAAGAUGUAGCCAGUCCCCGAACAGAAAGGUGGGGUCGCUUUGGGACUCUGAGAUUCUCACGCAGGAAGUUUACUGGAGCAUGUUCUUAGGAACAACACCUGUCUCUAAUGUGAGAGGAGAAAGAAGAAGGCAAAGGGAGAGUCUGAACCUUGAUGCAGUCACAGCACAGACCUGAGCUGACCCUGCAGGGAGCUCUGGGGCUGGGAUGGUUCUGCAGAGUCCAGUGCGUGCCAGGCCAGCUUGCAUGGGCUUGGGCAGAGCUGGUGGUGCGCACUUCUUCCCAACUUCACAUUCAAUGACAUCAUGUUGAUAUCUUGAAACUGGUGGCACAUACGUUUAUAACACAAAAAUAGGCAAUGCUAGAAACCAGGGGUUCUCCCACUUCCCUUGCCUAGAAAGCUGGUUUGCCAGAAAAGCCACAGUGAAGAAAGAUUGCUUCCAUAUCUAUCUCUGUGCCCAAAUUCAUGCAAUAAAUUCUUCGCUGUU
rnacentral:lncRNA from 1 species